UACGGAGGAUGCGAGCGUUAUCCGGAUUUAUUGGGUUUAAAGGGUGCGUAGGCGGACUGUCAAGUCAGCGGUAAAAUUGAGAGGCUCAACCUCUUCCCGCCGUUAAACUGGUGGUCUUGAGUGGAUGAGAAGUACGCGGAAUGCGUGGUGUAGCGGUGAAAUGCAUAGAUAUCACGCAGAACUCCGAUUGCGAAGGCAGCGUACCGGCAUCCAACUGACGCUGAGGCACGAAAGCGUGGGGAUCAAACAGG
rnacentral:rRNA from 1 species